rnacentral:rRNA from 1 species
GUCGAAGGGUAACCCGAGGAGCUUGCUCCUUGGCGACCAGUGGCGGACGGGUGAGUAAUACUUAGGAAUCUGCCCAUUAGUGGGGGACAACUCGGGGAAACUCGAGCUAAUACCGCAUACGCCCUACGGGGGAAAGCGGGGGAUCUUCGGACCUCGCGCUAAUGGAUGAGCCUAAGUCGGAUUAGUUUGUUGGUGAGGUAAAAGCUCACCAAGGCGACGAUCCGUAGCUGGUCUGAGAGGACGAUCAGCCACACUGGGACUGAGACACGGCCCAGACUCCUACGGGAGGCGGCAGUGGGGAAUAUUGGACAAUGGGCGAAAGCCUGAUCCAGCAAUGCCGCGUGUGUGAAGAAGGCCUGCGGGUUGUAAAGCACUUUCAGUAGAGAAGAAAAGCUUAGGGAUAAUAACCUUGAGUCUUGACGUAACCUACAAAAAAGCACCGGCUAACUCCGUGCCAGCAGCCGCGGUAAUACGGAGGGUGCAAGCGUUAAUCGGAAUUACUGGGCGUAAAGCGCGCGUAGGCGGCUUUGUAAGUCGGAUGUGAAAGCCCCGGGCUUAACCCUGGGAAUUGCAUUCGAUACUGCAGAACUAGAGUAUGGUAGAGGGAAAUGGAAUUUUCCGGUGGUAGCGGGGAAAUGCGUAGAUUUCGGAAGGAACACCAGUUGGCGAAGGCGACUUCCUGGGCCAAUACUGACGCUUAAGUGCGAAAGCCUGGGGAGCAAACAGGAUUAGAUACCCUGGGUAUUCACAGCCGUAAACG